rnacentral:rRNA from 1 species
GCGGCGUGCUUAACACUGCAAGUCGAACGAUGAACCUCCUUCGGGAGGGGAUUAGUGGCGAACGGGUGAGUAACACGUGGGCAACCUGCCCCGCACACUGGGAUAAGCCCUGGAAACGGGGUCUAAUACCGGAUAUGACUCAAGGUCGCAUGGUCUUGGGUGGAAAGCUCCGGCGGUGCGGGAUGGGCCCGCGGCCUAUCAGCUUGUUGGUGAGGUAACGGCUCACCAAGGCGACGACGGGUAGCCGGCCUGAGAGGGCGACCGGCCACACUGGGACUGAGACACGGCCCAGACUCCUACGGGAGGCAGCAGUGGGGAAUAUUGCACAAUGGGCGCAAGCCUGAUGCAGCGACGCCGCGUGAGGGAUGAAGGCCUUCGGGUUGUAAACCUCUUUCAGCAGGGAAGAAGCUCUUGAGUGACGGUACCUGCAGAAGAAGCGCCGGCUAACUACGUGCCAGCAGCCGCGGUAAUACGUAGGGCGCGAGCGUUGUCCGGAAUUAUUGGGCGUAAAGAGCUCGUAGGCGGCUUGUCGCGUCGGUUGUGAAAGCCCGGGGCUUAACUCCGGGUCUGCAGUCGAUACGGGCAGGCUAGAGUUCGGUAGGGGAGAUCGGAAUUCCUGGUGUAGCG